rnacentral:lncRNA from 1 species
GGUGAAGUUGCCUGCCAAGUCAGCCAGCUGACGGAGUUUCAUACUUGUUGCCCAGGCUGGAGUGCAAUGGCACAAUCUUGGCUCACCACAAACUCUGCCUCCCAGAUUCAAGUGAGCUCUGUCACCCACGCUAGAGUGCAGUGGCAUGAUCGUAGCGUACUGCAACCUCCACCUCCUGGGCGCAAGAAAUGCUCCCACCUCAGCCUCCUGAGUAGCUGGGACUACAGGUGUGCACCACCACGCCCGGCUACACCACGCCUGGUCUUGAAUUCCUG